UACGUAGGGUGCGAGCGCUAAUCGGAAUUACUGGGCGUAAAGCGUGCGCAGGCGGUUUUGUAAGCCAGAUGUGAAAUCCCCGGGCUUAACCUGGGAAUGGCAUUUGGGACCGCAAGGCUUGAGUGCGGCAGAGGAGACUGGAAUUCCUGGUGUAGCAGUGAAAUGCGUAGAUAUCUGGAGGAACACCGGUGGCGAAGGCGGCAUCCUGGACCGACACUGACGCUGAGGCGCGAAAGCCAGGGGAGCAAACGGG
rnacentral:rRNA from 1 species